AUCAUGAGAUCCAUUUCUGUGAUGAUUGGGUGGUUUACAAGAUUGUGUGACAUGUGCCUCCCCACUAACCUUGUUACCAUGUAAACACAUUACCUGUGUAACA